CCUUUUGUUCCAACAAUGUGCCUUGUCAAGGCAAAUUCACCUUCCUGUGCUUCUGCUGACCUUGCCUUGGCAAGAUUUGCAAUCUUAGCCCUGAAAUUGCUAUCAAGAAGAACAUUACUACUUUUUAUAUUCUUGUGCACAUGAGGAGGGCUAGUAAAACUAUGCAGAUAGUUAAGCCCUGUUGCCACAUCCAAAGCAAUCUGUACUCUCUGCGUCCAAUUUAAGAACUUCCCAUCAUUGUUGGUGUUACAAAUCCAAUCACUCAAUGGUCCAUUUGCAGCAUAUUCAUAAACCAGAAACCAAUGUCCGUCACUGAAACAAACACCAGAGAGGCGAACAAGAUUAAAAUGGUUGAUCUUGUUCAAUAAAUAUAUCUCCUUUGAAACAUCACCACUCACUUUCUUAAUCGCAGCAUAAUCACCAUUAAUUAAGCCACGAUAAACAGAUCCGCUAAUCCAACAACUGGG
rnacentral:misc_RNA from 1 species